GUAUGGUAACAUUACUAAGGGCGCAGGUAAUGACUCGCGGUAUAGUAACAUAAAGAUUGAUUACGAAAGUGAAUGGGUAAUCCGCAGCCAAGCAGCAUAAUAGUUUUAUUAUGGUGUGCAGUUCAUCGACUAGAUGGUGAUCGGCGAAAGCUUAAGAUAUAGUCAAACCUCUAUGGAAACAUAGCA
rnacentral:ribozyme from 1 species